UUGAGCCAGCCUUUCCAUGUUGCAGAAGUAUUUACUGGAGCCCCUGGAAAAUAUGUUGAAUUGAAGGAAAGCAUCACUAGUUUCCAGGGAGUCUUAGAUGGGAAAUACGACGAUCUUCCCGAGCAGUCAUUUUACAUGGUCGGUGGCAUUGAAGAAGUCAUUGCCAAGGCAGAGAAGAUUGCCAAGGAUUCUGCUGCUUAGUUAUAUUUGUUCUGCUAAGGCUUUGCAGAAUUAAUUAAUAAUGUAGUUGGGUUGGCAUAUUAUUUUGAGAUGAAAAAAUCUCUGAUUUUGUCAAUUUAAGCUUGUUGAAACUUCUUGUAGGUUAAACUCAGGCAGAUAAAUGAGUGGCAUGGCAUACUCUUUUUAAAAUCAUGCCCUUUUUUUUGCAAUAAAAAACAGACUCACAU
rnacentral:misc_RNA from 1 species